ensembl:snoRNA small nucleolar RNA SNORA13
UGCCUUUGUGUUGCCCAUUCAUUUCUUUCACCAGUGAAUGUGGUGUCAGAAAAGGCAUAUACAGUGGUACCUUGGGUUGCAUACUCUUCAGGUUACAUACACUU